rfam:Brachypodium distachyon strain Bd21 chromosome 1, whole genome shotgun sequence.
AUAGUGCUUUCUCCGUCCAACAAAAGAUGUCUCAAUUUUGUCUAAAUUUGAAUGCAUUUAUAAAUUAAAUCAAGUGUAGAUACAUCUAAAUUUUGACAAACUUAAGACAUCUUUUGUUGGACGGAGGAAGUAACAU